AUGAGCAUUCGUACAAGGCACAGACACGCAAACUGGAGUCGUCCAUUGAUGGGCUUAGUUACGUGGACACCAAAAGGGACCCAACAAAAUCAACUGGAGAGAGAGGUACAUUACAGAUUACACACAGAUGUUCAUGAUGAAAUAGCGAAAAAUACAUUGGUAGCGUUGCUUAAUGAUGCAGAUGUUUCUCCCUGGUUCCCUCCAUCUUCGCGGCUAAAGCAGAGUAUCAUCACAGUUGGAGGACAAAUUUGGCCACAAGCACGUUCCCAACCUCAAACCCGCUCACGAGAUCAUGCCUUCUAA
rnacentral:rRNA from 1 species